rnacentral:rRNA from 1 species
UGGUGGAGUGAUUUGUCUGGUUAAUUCCGAUAACGAACGAGACCUUAACCUGCUAAAUAGAACAGUCGACUUUGGUUGACUGCGUCUUCUUAGAGGGACUAUCAGCGUUUAGCUGAUGGAAGUUUGAGGCAAUAACA